rnacentral:lncRNA from 1 species
CUGGGAAUUGUUAUAUUCUUGUCUUCCACGCGUGCGUCCAGCAAGUUCACGAGCAUCUUUGGCAGCUGAUGAGCAAGAAAACUGGAAUCGAUCCCUCUUGGCAUGGGGGUGAAGAAACCCGCCAACCGCCCUCUUCGAUCGCAUCCCCGCCUGGCUGCAAGAGAUAAAGAAAACAAGAUUAAAAAUGAGGUUAGCAUAACGGCGUUGGUCAAUCUUGUUUUCGUGGCAGCGGAGAGCUGAG